rnacentral:rRNA from 1 species
UACGUAGGGUGCGAGCGUUAAUCGGAAUUACUGGGCGUAAAGCGUGCGCAGGCGGUCUUCCAAGUCAGUGGUGAAAGCCCGGAGCUCAACUCCGGAACUGCCAUUGAAACUGUUAGACUUGAGGACGAGAGAGGUGAGUGGAAUUCCCAGUGUAGAGGUGAAAUUCGUAGAUAUUGGGAAGAACACCGGUGGCGAAGGCGGCUCACUGGCUCGUUUCUGACGCUCAGGCGCGACAGCGUGGGGAUCAAACAGG